rnacentral:rRNA from 1 species
UACGUAGGGACCGAGCGUUGUCCGGAAUCAUUGGGCGUAAAGAGCGUGUAGGCGGCUUGUUAAGUCUUGCGUGAAAUCUCGGGGCUCAACCCCGAGCGGUCGUGAGAAACUGGCAGGCUAGAGUGCGGGAGAGGAGAGUGGAAUUCCUGGUGUAGCGGUGAAAUGCGCAGAUAUCAGGAGGAACACCAAUGGCGAAGGCAGAUCUCUGGGCCUUACCUGACGCUGAGGAGCGAAAGCGUGGGGAGCGAACAGG